GACGAACGCUGGCGGCGUGCUUAACACAUGCAAGUCGAACGGAAAGGCCCUGCUUUUUUGGGGUGCUCGAGUGGCGAACGGGUGAGUAACACGUGAGUAACCUGCCCUUGACUUUGGGAUAACUUCAGGAAACUGGGGCUAAUACCGGAUAGGAGCUCCUGCUGCAUGGUGGGGGUUGGAAAGUUUCGGCGGUUGGGGAUGGACUCGCGGCUUAUCAGCUUGUUGGUGGGGUAGUGGCUUACCAAGGCUUUGACGGGUAGCCGGCCUGAGAGGGUGACCGGCCACAUUGGGACUGAGAUACGGCCCAGACUCCUACGGGAGGCAGCAGUGGGGAAUAUUGCAAAAUGGGCGGAAGCCUGAGGCAGCAACGCCGCGUGCGGGAUGACGGCCUUCGGGUUGUAAACCGCUUUCGCCUGUGACGAAGCGUGAGUGACGGUAAUGGGUAAAGAAGCACCGGCUAACUACGUG
rnacentral:rRNA from 1 species